GGCGGUAAAUUUAUGUUUAGAGGAGCUUGCUUGAUAAUUGACUUUACUCAUUAAAUUUUACUUUAUUGGGUUUAUUUAUCUCCGUUAUUAGAAUAUUUUGUUUAAUGUUAUUUUAGGAUUAGAUUUCAGGUCAAGAUGUGGCUUAAUAAAGACGUAGUGAGCUACAAUUUAUAAUAAGUGGAUUAUUAUAUUAAUUUUAAUGUGAAAAUGGAUUUAGAAGUAUUUUUUUUUAUAAUUAAAGGACGAAUCUUUUUAAUUUAUGUACACAUC
rnacentral:rRNA from 1 species